rnacentral:rRNA from 1 species
GAUGAACGCUAGCGGGAGGCCUAACACAUGCAAGCCGAGCGGUAUUGUUUCUUCGGAAAUGAGAGAGCGGCGUACGGGUGCGUAACACGUGUGCAACCUGCCUUUAUCUGGGGGAUAGCCUUUCGAAAGGAAGAUUAAUACUCCAUAAUAUAUUGAACGGCAUCGUUUAAUAUUGAAAGCUCCGGCGUAUAGAGAUGGGCACGCGCAAGAUUAGCUAGUUGGUGAGGUAACGGCUCACCAAGGCGAUGAUCUUUAGGGGGCCUGAGAGGGUGAUCUCCCACACUGGUACUGAGACACGGACCAGACUCCUACGGGAGGCAGCAGUGAGGAAUAUUGGUCAAUGGGUGCAAGCCUGAACCAGCCAUCCCGCGUGAAGGACGACUGCCCUAUGGGUUGUAAACUUCUUUUGUAUAGGGAUAAACCUACCCUCGUGAGGGUAGCUGAAGGUACUAUACGAAUAAGCACCGGCUAACUCCGUGCCAGCCGCCGCGGUAAGAC